ACUGCCCCUAGAGGCAUUUACAGGUAUGACUGCUAUGUCACAUGUGUGUCGGUAGGUGGUAGAGAAGAGAGAGGCUAUGUCUACAUUCAGUGUCUGACCUGUGAACAUCUGAAUGGUUAAUAGCCUAACACU
ensembl:snoRNA